GAUGAAGAACGUAGCGAAAUGCGAUAAGUAGUGUGAAUUGCAGAAUUCAGUGAAUCAUCGAAUCUUCGAACGCACAUUGCGCCCCUUGGUAUUCCAUGGGGCAUGCCUGUUCGAGCGUCAUUUGUACCUUCAAGCUUUGCUUGGUGUUGGGUGUUUGUCCCGAGGGACUCGCCUUAAAGUAAUUGGCAGCCAGUGUUUGGUUUUGAAGCGCAGCACAAGUCGCGAUUCAAGGCUACACGCCCGCUUCCACAAGCCUUUUUUCACUUUUGACCUCGGAUCAGGUAGGGAUACCCGCUGAACUUAAGCAUAUCAAUAAGCGGAGGA
rnacentral:misc_RNA from 1 species